UGUGAUAAGGCUGUGCGGCCACUGCCACAUCGUCCGCUGCAGGUGGCGUUGGUGUGCUUGAGCAACCAGAACUGGAGCAUGGAGGUGCACAACAUUCUCAGCAAACGGGGAUUCCACGUCCAGUCCUUUGGAACAGGGACUCAAGUGAAGCUUCCAGGACCAGCUGCAGACAAGCCCAAUGUUUAUGAUUUCAGAAUCCCAUAUGACAGGACGUACAAUGAUCUUAGGAAAGACAAAGAACUCUAUACACAAAAUGUCAUUUUGCAUAUGCUAGACAGAAACAAGAGAAUCAAGUCCCGGCCAGAAAGGCUCCAGAACUGCACAGACCUGUUUGAUCUGAUCCUCACUUGCCAAGAGAGAGUGUACGACCAGGUGGUGGAAGAUCUGAAUUCCAGAGAACAGGAGACCUGCCACCCAGUGCACGUGAUCAAUGUGGACAUCCAGGACAAGCACAAGGAGGCCACCCUGGGGGCAUUUCGCAUCUGUGAGCCCUGCCAGUGUAUCCAGCACACGGAGGACAUGGAGAACCAGAUUAAUGAGCUGCUGCAGGAGUUUGAGGAGAGGAGCGGGCUUACCUUCCUGCACAGUCUGCUUCUACUGAGCACGGAGCCCUCCUGGGCCACCUUCUCCAGCUUCCUUUUGUUCAUACUUUCUCCUCCCUGACGUUUGUUUUUACUUAUAGGUGUUCUGCUGGUGACGGUAGCGUUACCCAGAUAAACUGUGCAUAUGAAACGGGAGGAGAUGUCUAAACGCCACAUUAAAGCAAUCAAGUUUUUUCCUUCCCACUUUUAGAGCAGGAUAUUGAUGGUAGUAUUUUUCUUUAACCAAAAUGGAAAGACAGCAGUUUGUGUUCACUUCCCUGCCUCCGGGCACCCCCUCCCUCCCUCCUCCCCACUUGGCCACACUGCACAGACUCCGCUGCCACCAUGUUAGGAAUGACCUGGAAUUGUCCAAUAAAUAGAUGCUGCUGUCAAAA